CUGGAGAAGUCCAUCUCUCAGAGGACAAA
rnacentral:piRNA from 1 species